rnacentral:snRNA from 1 species
AUGCUCAUUUCGGCAGCACAUAUACUAAAAUUGAAACCAUACAGAGAAGAUUAGCAUGGCCCCUGCACAAGGAUGACACGCAAAUUCGUGAAGUGUUCCAUAUUUUA